rnacentral:rRNA from 1 species
AUACGAAAGGUGCAAGCGUUGUUCGGAUUUACUGGGCGUAAAGAGAGUGUAGGUUGUUUAUUAAGUCGGAUGUGAAAUCCCGGGGCUCAACCCCGGAACUGCAUUCGAUACUGAUAGGCUAGAGUUCGGGAGGGGUAAGCGGAAUUCCGUGUGUAGCAGUGAAAUGCGUAGAUAUACGGAGGAACACCUGAGGCGAAGGCGGCUUACUGGACCGAUACUGACACUGAGACUCGAAAGCGUGGGUAGCAAACAGGAUUAGAAACCCUAGUAGUCC